rnacentral:lncRNA from 12 species
UGUAUUGAUGUCUGUGUUAGUUUUGAAAAUCCCUUAAGGUUUUCUUUGCAUUGGAUCUAGACAGAUCAACCCAUUUGGAGAAGAAUGUGAUCAAAAGUGACAGCCUUGCUUCCUGGUCAGAGAAUCACCAAUGCAGGCACAUAUAUGCACAAGUUGGAAAUAAGGAAAAUUGCAUCCUUAGGACUCUGCUGUCAGGACUGACUAUGAUUUUAAGGGUGAGGAUAGUGUUUAUCCUGCCCUUGGAACUGACUGUCCACCACUGAGCAACACAUGAGGCAUCUCAGCAUCAUCUCAGCACUCGAUACUAUUUAUCAGGUUUGCCUAUUAUAUGGAUAGUUAUGUGCAUCUAUUGAAUAGGUUCUUGCAUGUGGGGACAUAUAGGGAACAGAGUGGUCAGUUGCUCUGAAUUGGUGAGAGAAGGCUUCUAAGAGAAGGAGACUCCACAUAUCUUGACAUGCAGAUACUAAUUCCAUGCUUGGAGUCAACUUGAAGAUAAUGAUAUGAAUGAUAAUGGACCAAAGGGCUACCUGAAUUUUGUACUCUAACGAUUGCAGUGUUGUCACAGGAAUAAUUGCUGUCUACGGGGACAACUAAAUAUAUAUAUAUAUAUAUAUAUGUAUUUAUAUUAUUAUGUACAAUUAUUAUCGGCCUGUUUCAAAAUAAAACACUUACUUCCUUUGAGCUUCGUUUCA